CAUGUAAUACUUUAAAUGUUAAAACUGUAAAACAUGUAAUAUUUAUCCCAAGCUUUCACUCGUGUUGCCGAUGAUCAUGGGAGAUCAAGAUCAUUAAGACUCCCUUUUCCUAUCUCAAGAAGUGAUCCGUUGUUCAAAUAACAUUCAAGUUGUCUGAUCCAGUCGAUCAUCAAGAGGGAUCAGAGUAUAAUCCGGAGUUCUUGAUGCUCCAAAUGAGGCUAGGGUUGUCUCACUAACAAUAGCAGGCAGAAAGAAUCUGAGAAUAACUGUACAUAUCGUUUCUGUACUACGUUCUACUGUUUAUCUGGAGGGACUGUAUCUAGAUCAAUUCCAUAAGGUGAAUACUACUGAUAUUUCAAUAAUUAUCAUACUGAAAUUAUACUGACACACGGAGAACUUGAAACUUGAUAAAACCCAAACAGAAGACAUUUGGAUCAGCGCGCGAGAAAACCAUAAUCACCAUCAAAUGUAAGAUUUACAUUAGAAAGCUAGGGACACCAUUGUAUUUCGCAAAUUAUUCUCAUGUGCCCUUUGAACCAGAUGUUUUAAGCUUUUAUAAAGUUCUCAUAUAAUGCUUAAUGCUUAAAAUCCUUUUAUCUGGUCGUAACAUUUCACCAGAGAUCACAUUUUGAAAUAUUGGAUUUUAAUGUAUUCUGUCAAAUAACUUUAUCUGGUCACACCAUUUUACCAUUCAUCCCACUUUAUAAAGAUAUGCCAUGCUAAUUAAGUUUAUAAUUAAGCUUCAGAGCUUGAUGAUGAUCAAGAAAAAACUCUAAAACUAAAGACUGGACUUGAUUAUUCUGUGUAUGAGGUGGCGUAUAAACAAUAUAUUGGUUAAAUAGCUAUGAACUUCUAUUGUUGCACACUGAAAAUUAUUAGGAGAGACGCUAAAAGCUGAAAAGUCCACACUUACAGUCCCUUUAAAUCAAAAGUAAAAAUUCUAAGUCGUUUUAAAAAAAAAAAAAAAUUUUG